UAGGGAAUCUUCGGCAAUGGGGGCAACCCUGACCGAGCAACGCCGCGUGAGUGAAGAAGGUUUUCGGAUCGUAAAGCCCUGUUGUAAGAGAAGAACGUGUGUGAGAGUGGAAAGUUCACACAGUGACGGUAACUUACCAGAAAGGGACGGCUAACUACGUGCCAGCAGCCGCGGUAAUACGUAGGUCCCGAGCGUUGUCCGGAUUUAUUGGGCGUAAAGCGAGCGCAGGCGGUUUAAUAAGUCUGAAGUUAAAGGCAGUGGCUUAACCAUUGUUCGCUUUGGAAACUGUUAAGCUUGAGUGCAGAAGGGGAGAGUGGAAUUCCAUGUGUAGCGGUGAGAUGCGUAGAUAUAUGGGAGAAAACCGGUGGCGGAAGCGGCUCUCUGGUAUGUAACUGGAGCUGAGGCUCGAAAGCGUGGGGAGCAAACAGG
rnacentral:rRNA from 1 species